rnacentral:rRNA from 1 species
UACGUAGGGCGCAAGCGUUAUCCGGAUUUAUUGGGCGUAAAGAGCUUGUAGGCGGUUCGUCGCGUCUGGUGUGAAAGCCCAUCGCUUAACGGUGGGUCUGCGCCGGGUACGGGCGGGCUAGAGUGCAGUAGGGGAAACUGGAAUUCUCGGUGUAACGGUGGAAUGUGUAGAUAUCGGGAAGAACACCAAUGGCGAAGGCAGGUUUCUGGGCUGUUACUGACGCUGAGAAGCGAAAGCGUGGGGAGCGAACAGGAUUAGAUACCCUGGUAGUCAAGGGCGAAUUCGUU